rnacentral:tRNA from 1 species
AAAGCAAUAGGUUAUACAAACCAUUAUCCUUCAAAGAUAAAGAAGCAAGCUUUA